rnacentral:rRNA from 1 species
UAUGUGAUCGUCUCUCGCAUAUCAAUAAGCGGAGGAAAAGAAACUAACAAGGAUUCCCCUAGUAACGGCGAGUGAAGCGGGGAAGAGCUCAAAUUUGAAAUCUUAAAGGGUUUCCCUUUACGAAUUGUAGUUUAAAGAAGUGUUUUCUGUUGAGGUUUUGGUAAAAGUUCUUUGGAAUAGGACAUCAUAGGAGGGUGAGAAUCCCGUAUUUGACCUUUACUUUCAACUUUGUGAUACACUUUCAAAGAGUCGGAUUGUUUGGGAAUGCAGUCCAAAAUGGGUGGUAAAUUUCAUCUAAAGCUAAAUAUUGGCGAGAGACCGAUAGCGAACAAGUACCGUGAGGGAAAGAUGAAAAGAACUUUGAAAAGAGAGUUAAACAGUACGUGAAAUUGUCAAAAGGGAAGCGUUUGACACCAGUGUUGUUUUUCUGAAAAUCAGUUAAAGAACUGUUUAUGCUAAGUUGUUUAGACUUUAUCAGCUAACUGUUUAGUUUUGAGCUUUUCUUUAAUGCACUUUUCAGUUAACAAGUCAACAUCAAUUUCUUUUGCUGUAAAAAAGCUUGAGGAAGGUGGCUUGAGAUUCGUCUUAAGUGUUUAUAGCCUCUUGCCUAUGCAGUCGGAGAGAUUGAGGUCUGCAGCGUAGAUCCUUCGGGGCUAAAUGCAUUUGUGCUAAGUUAUAAGCAUUUUAUAGACAACUUGUUGACUAUGAUUUGUCUUGUAGCUUACUCGCUUAUGUUAUUUUACCUACGCUUAGGAUGUUGAUCUACAGAGCGAGAGU